GUGCCAGCAGCCGCGGUAAUACGUAGGGCGCAAGCGUUGUCCGGAAUUAUUGGGCGUAAAGAGCUCGUAGGUGGCUGGUCGCGUCUGCCGUGAAAGCCCGCAGCUUAACUGCGGGUCUGCGGUGGAUACGGGCCGGCUAGAGGUAGGUAGGGGCAAGUGGAAUUCCUGGUGUAGCGGUGAAAUGCGCAGAUAUCAGGAGGAACACCGGUGGCGAAGGCGGCUUGCUGGGCCUUACCUGACGCUGAGGAGCGAAAGCGUGGGGAGCGAACAGGAUUAGAUACCCCUGUAGUCC
rnacentral:rRNA from 1 species